rnacentral:rRNA from 1 species
GAUGAACGCUAGCGGCAGGCCUAACACAUGCAAGUCGAGGGAGAAGCCCUUUCGGGGGCAGAAACCGGCGCACGGGUGCGUAACGCGUAUGCAACCUACCUUUCACAGGGGGAUAGCCCGAAGAAAUUUGGAUUAAUACCCCAUAAUAUUAUUGGAUGGCAUCAUUUGAUGAUUAAAACUGCGGUGGUGAAAGAUGGGCAUGCGUCCUAUUAGCUAGUUGGAGUGGUAACGGCACCCCAAGGCUACGAUAGGUAGGGGUCCUGAGAGGGAGAUCCCCCACACUGGUACUGAGACAGGGACCAGACUCCUACGGGAGGCAGCAGUGAGGAAUAUUGGUCAAUGGUCGGAAGACUGAACCAGCCAUGCCGCGUGCAGGAAGAAUGCCUUAUGGGUUGUAAACUGCUUUUAUAUGGGAAGAAUAAGGCGUACGUGUACGUUGAUGACGGUACCAUAUGAAUAAGCAUCGGCUAACUCCGUG